rnacentral:hammerhead_ribozyme from 1 species
AUCCAGAUGACGAGUCCCCAAUAGGACGAAAUGCGCGUCCUGGAU